GUUUUUUUUAGGGGUAAAAAAAAGGGAGUGAGUCAGUGUACUUGCUGGUCUUGAUCCCUCUCGACAUCCACCUGCAAGGCAGCACAAAUAAACCCUGUCAGGAGACUGCCACAAGCUGUCACAUCAGGAGUUAUCGUGGCUGACAGAUGGAGAAGGCUCUUUUUUCAGACACCGAUUUGGCCGAUUACAUCAGGAAGCUUCAGACAAUAUGAAAAUAUGGCAGCAAUGACUCUCACACGCACCCACAUGCACACAUCUUCAUAACUCUGGAUGAACGUUACAUAACACAAACGGCCAGGGAAAGGAGGAACAGAAGGAGAGAGAAAAAAACAAGUGACAAUCACUUAAAACGAUGUGACAGUUGACUUUUUUAUUAAUUAAUUCUUCCUGGCUCCAGGAAACUUUCCUAGAGGCAGAAUGUUCCACACAAAAGUCUCCAAGUUCCAGAGAAAUACAUUUCCUUCUGUCAUCAGUCAAGAUUAAGUCACACAUGCAGAACUGCUGAAAGAUUAACAAAUGGCAGCUCUCUCUGUCAACACUUUAGAGACAGGAGGUGCCAGACAAAUAAUCUUUUCUAAAUACAACCUCUCCAGUAAAACAAGUGCUUGAAUUCACUGAAAUAUCUCAUGUGUUUGAUGAUUUGCUAUAAAAAUUUGAGAAACAAAUUUGUGGUCCCCUGAGGAUGAAUCCUGCAGACUUUGGUGUUUUCCUGACUUUUCCUCCAGGACCACUGUGAGGCUGUCUUGACAAUUAUGAGUUGGACUGCUACUAUGAUUUGGAGCAGACACUCUGACUUUUCUUGAGCACCAACUAAAAGUUUUAUUCAUAAGGAUAAAACGUGUUCAGUGUGUGAACUGUCCACAGCUGAGUAGGUACUAUGAUGCACCAGCGUGAUAUGCUAGUUUGCUGUUCUCUCAUUUAAUAUAACGUCGUUACAUAAAACCUUGUCUCAGCACCCUCCGCUUUGACUCAUCAUCCUCGGUUGUAUUUGUUCACAGCUGAUUAUCAAAUAUUUGAAUGCUAACAAGCUAAACAAGGCUAAAGGUAGCUAUGGACUCUUUCCCUUGUUGUUGUAGUGAAUCCUAAACCUUUUGUCAAAAUAAGGGAAUUGUCUGCCACAGUUACCUUCAUCCCUAUUUUGCUGUGACCUGCAUUUAACCCCCUAUUGCUUUAAUUUAUUGUAAAUAAAAUAAUUUUGGCACAGCAAUGUGUGGUUCCGGUUUAUUCCUUUAUCACCUGGGCUCACUCUUAA